CAGAUGUGUAUAAGAGACAGGUGAGUCAUCGAAUCUUUGAACGCAACUUGCGCUUAAAAUCAAUCAUUUUAAGCACACUUGUUUGAGUGUCGGUUUAUAACACACUUUUAAUGUGUUUGAGUUUCAACUAUUUAAUAGUCGUUACUUUAAAACUAUGCUAUGAUAUUUGAUUAUCUUUCACUUCUUAGUAUUUCUUUGAUUUGUAAUAGAUAACCCUUUUAUCAUUCAUUCCUCUCAAUUUCUCGACCUCAAAUCAAGUGAGAUUACCGGCUGAACUUAAGCAUAUCAAUAAGCGGAGGA
rnacentral:misc_RNA from 1 species